GACGAACGCUGGCGGUGUGCUUAACACAUGCAAGUCGAGCGGUAAGGCCCUUUCGGGGGUACACGAGCGGCGAACGGGUGAGUAACACGUGGGUGACCUGCCCUCAGCUCUGGGAUAAGCCUGGGAAACUGGGUCUAAUACUGGAUAUGACUCCACGGUGCAUGUCGUGGGGUGGAAAGCCUUGUGCGGCUGAGGAUGGGCCCGCGGCCUAUCAGCUUGUUGGUGGGGUGANGGCCUACCAAGGCGACGACGGGUAGCCGGCCUGAGAGGGCGACCGGCCACACUGGGACUGAGACACGGCCCAGACUCCUACGGGAGGCAGCAGUAGGGAAUAUUGGACAAUGGGCGAAAGCCUGAUCCAGCCAUGCCGCGUGAGUGAUGAAGGCC
rnacentral:rRNA from 1 species